GCUGCGAGGAAAGUCCCCGUGCCUUGGUGCAGAGAGUGCGUCGUGGAGGUGUG
rnacentral:RNase_MRP_RNA from 14 species